rnacentral:lncRNA from 1 species
GCGAGCAGGUUGCACACCUUUCCUGGUUCUUGUCUUACAUCUUCAGUAUUUGUGAAAAGGUUUCUAUAACUUUCAGUGUGGAAAACUGUAUAAUUUUGUUACUAUGUAUAUUUUUUAGAAAGUCAUCAUUUGAAAAAAUAUCAUUAAAUUAACAUUUAUCAUUUCUGUAUGGCACUGAAAAUUCAUUACUGUACGCUGUGAAGUAAUGGCCUGUCUAACUGAAUAGUACUUUGUAAUUUGCUUCUUUUUGUAAUAGACUUGAAUAGGUUCUGGGAACUCUUCGGUCUUAUUAUAUGAGUUGGUAAGUGAUAGUCUCUCAUGUCUAUUUACUAUGGUAAUGGUUUACAUCUUAGUGUCCAUUUUAGUAUUAUAUUAGAAAUGCUUAAAUUUAACACUUUGGGAGGGGACUAGAGAGAUGGUCCAGCAGUUAACACUACAGAGGACCUGAGUUUCCUUCCCGGCACCCACAUCUAGUAGCCACUCUCAGCCACUUGUAACUCUAGCUCCAGGCAGUUUCGUGCUGUCUUCUGGUCUCUGCAGGCACACAAAUACAAACACACACACUGAUACAAACACAGAAUAAUAAAAUCCUUAAAACUUAGAAAGGCUUGAUUAUUGUAACUAUAAAAUAUAAAUCACUUUAAAAAAAACUUUUAUUGGCUGUGAAUUUCACAUCAUGCACCCCAGCCCUCCAAUUCCACUCAUUUUCCCAUCCCUUAGUAUCGGCUUUCUGCCCUUGCAACUUCCUCCUCAAAACAAAAUAAAGAUAGAAUUAAAAAAUCUUGUCAUAGAAGCUGGAGUAUGUCACAUUGUGUCACACAGUAUAUCCUUUUGUCCAUACAGAAGUCAUCACUUUUUGGUAAUAAGUUUAAUGCACAUUUUAUGUAAGUAAAACUAAAAAUGUAAGUGUACACUGAUGAGUUUUGGCAAAUGUAUACAUAAUGUAACUCCCUCCACUACUAAGAUAAUAAAACAUUUUCAUUACAUUUCAUUUCAAAAGUCUCUGUGUCUGUCUGCAGUCUCCUUCCAAACAGUGCUUUUGUGAACUCUGACUGGGCCAGCACAGUAUUUGUUCUUUUAGUUUUGCAUUCUUGUACUUACUGUAAGUGCUUUUGCCAUCUUGCCUUUGUUGCAUGUGUUGAUAAUUGAUUCAUUUUUAUUGUUGAGUAUAUUCCAUUGUAUAAAGUCUGACAAAGUGUUUCUUGGGUUGUUUCCAGGCUUUGCCUGUUAUGAAUAAAUUUGUUGGAAGCAUUG